GAAGUAAUAGUUUAACCGGAAAAGCACCUUUAUGCAAAAAGGAGUUACAGGUUCGAAUCCUGUUUACUUCC
rnacentral:tRNA from 1 species